AGGAUAAUAGUUAAUUAUAACGUUUAAUUUGCAUUUAAAAAAUACUAAAUAAUCUUAGUUUAUCUUA
rnacentral:tRNA from 2 species